UGAACGCUAGCUACAGGCUUAACACAUGCAAGUCGAGGGGCAGCAUUUUAGUUUGCUUGCAAACUGAAGAUGGCGACCGGCGCACGGGUGAGUAACACGUAUCCAACCUGCCGAUAACUCCGGAAUAGCCUUUCGAAAGAAAGAUUAAUACCGGAUAGCAUACGAAUAUCGCAUGAUAUUUUUAUUAAAGAAUUUCGGUUAUCGAUGGGGAUGCGUUCCAUUAGUUUGUUGGCGGGGUAACGGCCCACCAAGACAACGAUGGAUAGGGGUUCUGAGAGGAAGGUCCCCCACAUUGGAACUGAGACACGGUCCAAACUCCUACGGGAGGCAGCAGUGAGGAAUAUUGGUCAAUGGGCGAGAGCCUGAACCAGCCAAGUAGCGUGAAGGAUGAAGGCUCUAUGGGUCGUAAACUUCUUUUAUAUGGGAAUAAAGUUUUCCACGUGUGGAAUUUUGUAUGUACCAUAUGAAUAAGGAUCGGCUAACUCCGUGCCAGCAGCCGCGGUAAUACGGAGGAUCCGAGCGUUAUCCGGAUUUAUUGGGUUUAAAGGGAGCGUAGGUGGAUUGUUAAGUCAGUUGUGAAAGUUUGCGGCUCAACCGUAAAAUUGCAGUUGAAACUGGCAGUCUUGAGUACAGUAGAGGUGGGCGGAAUUCGUGGUGUAGCGGUGAAAUGCUUAGAUAUCACGAAGAACUCCGAUUGCGAAGGCAGCUCACUAGACUGUCACUGACACUGAUGCUCGAAAGUGUGGGUAUCAAACAGGAUUUAGAUACCCUGGUAGUCCACACAGUAAACGAUGAAUACUCGCUGUUUGCGAUAUACAGUAAGCGGCCAAGCGAAAGCAUUAAGUAUUCCACCUGGGGAGUACGCCGGCAACGGUGAAACUCAAAGGAAUUGACGGGGGCCCGCACAAGCGGAGGAACAUGUGGUUUAAUUCGAUGAUACGCGAGGAACCUUACCCGGGCUUAAAUUGCAACAGAAUAUAUUGGAACCAGUAUAGCCGUAAGGCUGUUGUGAAGGUGCUGCAUGGUUGUCGUCAGCUCGUGCCGUGAGGUGUCGGCUUAAGUGCCAUAACGAGCGCAACCCUUAUCUUUAGUUACUAACAGGUGAUGCUGAGGACUCUAGAGAGACUGCCGUCGUAAGAUGUGAGGAAGGUGGGGAUGACGUCAAAUCAGCACGGCCCUUACGUCCGGGGCUACACACGUGUUACAAUGGGGGGUACAGAAGGCGGCUACCUGGUGACAGGAUGCUAAUCCCAAAAACCUCUCUCAGUUCGGAUCGAAGUCUGCAACCCGACUUCGUGAAGCUGGAUUCGCUAGUAAUCGCGCAUCAGCCAUGGCGCGGUGAAUACGUUCCCGGGCCUUGUACACACCGCCCGUCAAGCCAUGAAAGCCGGGGGUACCUGAAGUACGUAACCGCAAGGAGCGUCCUAGGGUAAAACUGGUAAUUGGGGCUA
rnacentral:rRNA from 1 species